rnacentral:rRNA from 1 species
AAAGGAAUUGACGGGGACCCGCACAAGCGGUGGAUGAUGUGGAUUAAUUCGAUGCAACGCGAAAACCUUACCUACCCUUGACAUGUCCGGAAUCCCGAAGAGAUUUGGGAGUGCUCGCAAGAGAACCGGAACACAGGUGCUGCAUGGCUGUCGUCAGCUCGUGUCGUGAGAUGUUGGGUUAAGUCCCGCAACGAGCGCAACCCUUGUCAUUAGUUGCCAUCAUUUGGUUGGGCACUCUAAUGAGACUGCCGGUGGCAAACCGGAGGAAGGUGGGGAUGACGUCAAGUCCUCAUGGCCCUUAUGGGUAGGGCUUCACACGUCAUACAAUGGUCGGUACAGAGGGUUGCCAACCCGCGAGGGGGAGCUAAUCCCACAAAGCCGAUCGUAGUCCGGAUCGCAGUCUGCAACUCGACUGCGUGAAGUCGGAAUCGCUAGUAAUCGUGGAUCAGCAUGUCACGGUGAAUACGUUCCCGGGUCUU